rnacentral:rRNA from 1 species
GAUGAACGCUAGCUACAGGCUUAACACAUGCAAGUCGAGGGGAAACGACAGAGGAAGCUUGCUUCCUUUGGGCGUCGACCGGCGCACGGGUGAGUAACGCGUAUCCAACCUUCCCGCAAGUAAGGGAUAACCCGUAGAAAUGCGGCCUAAUACCUUAUGUUUUCCUUAGAGGGCAUCUGAUGAGGAACAAAGAUCCGUCGCUUGCGGAUGGGGAUGCGUCUGAUUAGUUAGUCGGCGGGGUAACGGCCCACCGAGACGACGAUCAGUAGGGGUUCUGAGAGGAAAGUCCCCCCACAUUGGAACUGAGACACGGUCCAAACUCCUACGGGAGGCAGCAGUGAGGAAUAUUGGUCAAUGGGCGUAAGCCUGAACCAGCCAAGUAGCGUGCGGGAUGAAGGCCCUAUGGGUUGUAAACCGC